GGUGGAGUCGCAUAGUCCGGCCGAGUGCGCGCGCCUCGAAAGCGCGUAGGGGUUCACGCUCCUCGAGGGUUCGAAUCCCUCCUCCACCACCA
rnacentral:tRNA from 1 species